GACGAACGCUGGCGGCGUGCUUAACACAUGCAAGUCGAACGAAGUGGCGAACGGGUGAGUAACGCGUAAUCAACCUGCCCUUCAGAGGGGGACAACAGUUGGAAACGACUGCUAAUAACGCAUACUGAUGGAGGGGAUUGCGUCUGUUUAGCUCGUUGGAGGGGUAACGGCCCAACAAGGCGAUGAUCAGUCGCCGGACUGAUGGGAUGAACAGCCACAUUGGAACUGAGACACGGCCCAGACUCCUACGGGAGGCAGCAUGGGGGAACCUUCCGCAAUGGACGAAAGUCUAACGAAGCAACGCCGCGUGAGUGAUGACGGCCUUCGGGUUGUAAAGCUCUGUUAAUCGGGACGCGGUACCGGAAUAGAAAGCCACGGCUAACUACGUGCCAGCAGCCGCGGUAAUAC
rnacentral:rRNA from 1 species